AGUAACACGUGGAUAACCUACCUAUAAGACUGGGAUAACUUCGGGAAACCGGAGCUAAUGCCGGAUAAUAUUUUGAACCGCAUGGUUCAAAAGUGAAAGACGGUCUUGCUGUCACUUAUAGAUGGAUCCGCGCUGCAUUAGCUAGUUGGUAAGGUAACGGCUUACCAAGGCAACGAUGCAUAGCCGACCUGAGAGGGUGAUCGGCCACACUGGAACUGAGACACGGUCCAGACUCCUACGGGAGGCAGCAGCC
rnacentral:rRNA from 1 species